ensembl:miRNA
AGUUACAGAUGGUUUUGAACCACUAUGUGGGUGCUGGGAAUUGAUCUGGGUCCUCUGCAAGUGCUCUUAACUGCUGAGCC